GACGAACCGUGCGACCGUUGUUCGGAAUCACUGGGCUUAAAGGGCGCGUAGGCGGGCUGUCAAGUCUGGGGUGAAAUGCUGCGGCUCAACCGUAGAACUGCCUUAGAUACUGACGGCCUCGAGGAAGGUAGGGGCAUGCGGAACUGUAGGUGGAGCGGUGAAAUGCGUUGAUAUCUACAGGAACUCCGGUGGCGAAAGCGGCGUGCUGGACCUUUUCUGACGCUGAGGCGCGAAAGCUAGGGGAGCAAACGGG
rnacentral:rRNA from 1 species